rnacentral:rRNA from 1 species
AAAGCCCCGCAAGGGGUAAGUAGAGUGGCAAACGGGUGAGUAACACGUGGGUGACCUGCCUUCGAGUGGGGGAUAACGUCCCGAAAGGGACGCUAAUACCGCAUGACAUCCUGCUCUUGGACGAGCGGAGAUCAAAGCUGGGGAUCGCAAGACCUGGCGCUUGAAGAGGGGCCCGCGCCUGAUUAGCUAGUUGGUGAGGUAACGGCUCACCAAGGCAACGAUCAGUAUCCGGCCUGAGAGGGCGGACGGACACACUGGGACUGAGACACGGCCCAGACUCCUACGGGAGGCAGCAGUGGGGAAUUGUUCGCAAUGGGCGCAAGCCUGACGACGCAACGCCGCGUGGAGGAUGAAGAUCUUCGGGUCGUAAACUCCUGUCGAGCGGGAAGAACGUUUCGCGGAUGAAUAAGCCGCGGAAGUGACGGUACCGCUAAAGGAAGCCCCGGCUAACUCCGUGCCAGCAGCCGCGGUAAUACGGGGGGGGCAAGCGUUGUUCGGAAUUACUGGGCGUAAAGGGCUCGUAGGUGGCCAACUAAGUCAGACGUGAAAUCCCCAGGCUUAACCUGGGAACUGCGUCUGAUACUGGAUGGCUUGAAUUCGGGAGAGGGAUGCAGAAUUCCAGGUGUAGCGGUGAAAUGCGUAGAUAUCUGGAGGAAUACCGGUGGCGAAGGCGGCAUCCUGGACCGAGAUUGACACUGAUGAGCGAAAGCCAGGGGAGCAAACGGGAUUAAAUACCCCGGUAGUCCUGGCCCUAAACGAUGAAUGCUUGGUGUGACGGGUAUCGAUCCCUGUCGUGCCGAAGCUAACGCAUUAAGCAUUCCGCCU